UGAAAGAUAAGCUAAAUAAAGCUAAAGGGUUCAUACCCCUUCUAUGACCUCGUCUCUUUCAA
rnacentral:tRNA from 1 species